rnacentral:rRNA from 1 species
AUUGAACGCUGGCGGCAUGCCUUACACAUGCAAGUCGAACGGCAGCGGGGGAGAAGCUUGCUUUUCCUGCCGGCGAGUGGCGAACGGGUGAGUAAUACAUCGGAACGUGCCCUGUAGUGGGGGAUAACUAGUCGAAAGAUUAGCUAAUACCGCAUACGACCUGAGGGUGAAAGUGGGGGACCGCAAGGCCUCAUGCUAUAGGAGCGGCCGAUGUCUGAUUAGCUAGUUGGUGGAGUAAAGGCCUACCAAGGCGACGAUCAGUAGCUGGUCUGAGAGCACGAUCAGCCACACUGGGACUGAGACACGGCCCAGACUCCUACGGGAGGCAGCAGUGGGGAAUUUUGGACAAUGGGCGAAAGCCUGAUCCAGCAAUGCCGCGUGUGUGAAGAAGGCCUUCGAGUUGUAAAGCACUUUUGUCCGGAAAGAAGUGGCUCUGGUUAAUACCUGGGGUCGAUGACGGUACCGGAAGAAUAAGGACCGGCUAACUACGUGCCAGCCGCCGCAGUAA